UACAGAGGGUGCGAGCGUUUGUCCGGAAUCACUGGGCGUAAAGGGCGCGUAGGUGGUGGCUUAAGCGUGCGGUGAAAGCUCGGAGCUCAACUCCGAGUCGGCCGUGCGAACUGGGCUCACUGGAGCAUAGUAGAGGCAGGUGGAAUUCCGGGUGUAGCGGUGGAAUGCGUAGAGAUCCGGAAGAACACCGGUGGCGAAGGCGGCCUGCUGGGCUAUGGGCUGACACUGAGGCGCGACAGCGUGGGGAGCAAACAGGG
rnacentral:rRNA from 1 species